GGCUUCGUAGGUCAGCUGGCAGUGCGCUUGCCGCGUUGAGGCAUGCUUUCGCUGGUUAGAACCCAGCCGAAGCCC